AUGGUCUCCUCCAUCAGCCUGGCCCUCUGUGUGGGCAUCGCUGCUCUCUUGGUUGAGCUUCCCGGUGCAACAGCCAAGGAGCGGCCUGGCUACUGCCUGAACAUGCCGGUCCCGUCCUCACACCCUUCGGCCAAGAGCGGCUGCAGAAGGUGCGACGUGGACGCCGACUGUCUCCGGAAGGAUAAGUGUUGUGGUUCCCUUUGCGGCAACACCUGCCAGGUGCCUGAGCCACGUAAGGACACUUUUGGGCCAUUUUAUGGGGGGAACGGGGGCGACUGGGGGGGGGGUGUCUGUAUGUAGAGACAGCAGGUGCAGCCUUUUCUGUCCCCUCGGCGAAGGGGCCCAGACCUCUUCCUCCAGGAUGGGCCUUUGGAGGGGUGGGGGUAAUAAGGAUGCGCGCUCCAGAACUGGCCAGGCCCCACCGCAGGACCUCUUGCCCGCUGCAAGCCCAUAUUCCACCCAACAUCCCCCCCCCCCCCCAGUGAGGGUCAAACUGGACCGCGGAGCAAACAAGAGGUGAAACUCCAGUCUGGGCACAAAUGUGGCCCUUGGAAAAGGAGGUUCCAGUUCCCCACAUGGCCCCCUCCCCCGUGUGUUUCUGCUCUGAAGGAUGACCAGCAAUGACCGUUGGAGGGGUUUGGACCCAGAGGGGCCGAUGCUGGCAACCAGCACACAAAGAUAACCUCCGUCCCCAGUGCGUGGCCUGAGGAGAUUGCAAGGACUGUCGCUCCCCAUGGAAGCCCGCCUGGCCUCUAUAUCAUCGAUAAUAGAACACUUUAUUUACAUUCUGCCCUUCUCCCCGAGGGGACUCAGAGCGGAUUGCAGCAUAUAAAUCAGGGGUCCUCAAACUUUUUAAGUGGAGGGCCGAUUCACAGUCCCUCAGACUGUUGGGGGGCCGGACUAGGAUGAAAAAGUCGAAAAUAUUAGGAUUGUUUUUGUGUGCCUUAAUGUCAUUUCAGACUUAGGUCAACCCUAACAUAAGACCAUAAGUAAACAAAGAGACCUCGAAAGUCCAUCUAGAUGGUCUCAUCAGGCCAUCAGAAGACCAUAGUUAAGGAAAGGGACCUCAAAGAGCAUCUAGACAAUCUCAUAAAACCAUAGAUAAGGAAAGGCACUCUCAAAGGCCAUCUAGACGGUCUCAUAGGAACACAGGAAAGAAAAGGGACUCUCAAAGGCCAUCUAGAUGGUCUCAUAGGAAUAUAGGAAAGAAAAGGCACUCUCAAAGGCCAUCUAGACGGUCUCAUAGGAACAUAGGAAAUAAAAGGGACUCUCAAAGGUCAUCUAGAUGGUCUCAUAGGACCAUAGGUAAGGAAAGUGACCUCCAAAAGCCAUCUAGAUGGUCCCACAAGGCUGUAGCUAAGCAAAGAGACCUUCAAAGACCAUCUAGACAAUCUCAUAAGACCAUAGGUAAGCAAAGAGACCUCCAAACACCAGGUAGACUGAGGUCAACCCUAAGUCUCCAGUUUAGGACAAGGGCCAGGUCAAUGACCUUGGAGGGCUGCAUCUGGCCCACAGGCCUUAGUUUGGGGACCCCUGAUAUAAACAGACACAGGCAAACAUUCAGUGCCUUGUUACAAUGACAUACAAUGAGACACGGGUACACAGACAAAGGCAAAGGCUUCUCCUUUCAUUUCUGGUUCUGGAGACAGUGCUCAGCUCAGCUCUGGCCCUGUGGGAGGGGCUCUUCUCCAUUUCCAAGCCAAGGAGACGGUGUUGUCCGUAGACUCCUCCUGGCCGCGUGGCCACAGCAGCUGCCCUCUUGACCCUCCUUUCCUCCUCUUCAAGACCGCUGCCGCCUUUCCCCCGUCACCGGACCCUGCAAAGCCGCAAUGCCACGGUUCUACUACAACUGGGGCAGCAAGAGGUGCGAGAAGUUCAUCUACGGGGGGUGCUACGGCAACCUGAACAGGUUUGAGACCAAGGAGGAGUGCGAGCGGGCCUGCAAGGGCAAAGGUGAGCGGGGGGACGGGCCUCACCCCAUCCGGGCAGCAAAGUCCUGCUGCUCAGACAGGGAUCCUGGUCUUGGAAGGGAGCCCUGAGGCCACCCAGUCCAG
ensembl:lncRNA